CCGGCGCCAGGGUGCCCGGGGUACGCCAUGCUGCCCUCUGUGCCGCAGCCCUGCGCCUCCCGCCUCCCCGCCGCGGCCGCCUCGGGCCGCACCACCGGAGCCCACGGGGGACGCACUUCAGGCUCGCCGGCCCUGUCAGGCUCCACUCCCGGCCCCUCGCCCCCUCCUGCGCUCCGCCCGGUCUCUGGUGUUUUAUGUACUCAGGCCCUGACGAAUCGGAAGUCCGGCCAUCCAGGUGACAAGCAUUAUCAGCUACACGUUGCUGAGAGAUGAAAUUGGAUUUUAUAAGCUGCCUUGAAAAUUAUGACAUGUUGAGCUCCUUGCUUUAGUGGAAGCUCGGCUUACACACUACUGAGUUGAAUGGAUCUUUAUCUUGUCUGUUGGUCAUGAAAAAAGCCAUUGCAAAUCACAUUCUUCAACGGACUUAACCAGCUGAGUAGUCACCAGCCAGUGCCUUCGGCCCUAGACGGUGUAGCUUAAGAGGACCCUUUCUAUUGGCAUUGCGAUAUUGAUCAGCCUUGCUGCCUCCCAUCAGAUACACGUGGCCUUUUCUGACCCUGUCAAAUGUUACCAAAUGCCAGUUUGUGUGCCUGAGGCACAGGAAGACCAAACAACCCAAAACGUUGGAGUUUGGAGCAGAAAAAGGAUUAUUGCAGGGCCAUACAAGGAGAACAGGUGGCUUGUGCUCAAAAAACCUGGAACUCCCUGAAGGGGUUCAGCAAAGCAUUU